ACGAACGCUGGCGGCCUGCCUAACACCUGCCAGUCGAACGAGACCUUCGGGUCUAGUGGCGCACGGGUGCGUAACGCGUGGGAACCUGCCCUUAGGUUCGGAAUAACUCCCCGAAAGGGGUGCUAAUACCGGAUAAUGUCUUCGGACCAAAGAUUUAUCGCCUUUGGAUGGGCCCGCGUUGGAUUAGCUAGUUGGUAGGGUAAAAGCCUACCAAGGCGACGAUCCAUAGCUGGUCUGAGAGGAUGAUCAGCCACACUGGGACUGAGACACGGCCCAGACUCCUACGGGAGGCAGCAGUGGGGAAUAUUGGACAAUGGGCGAAAGCCUGAUCCAGCAAUGCCGCGUGAGUGAUGAAGGCCUUAGGGUUGUAAAGCCCUUUUACCCGGGAUGAUAAUGACAGUACCGGGAGAAUAAGCUCCGGCUAACUCCGUG
rnacentral:rRNA from 1 species